rnacentral:lncRNA from 1 species
UCUGAAAAGGUGGAUUGCUGCUUCAAAGGACCUGGACCCAGAGGCCCUGUCCAUGAAUGUUUCUUGCUUGGUUCCGAGGCCACCAAACAUACUGGCUGAGCCUUCUGUAUUCACCCUGGCCUAUCAAUGCCAUCUAUGAGAGCAGCCACACUGAGAGAGCAGCAGCAUGGAGCCUACUCAAGGGUUUGUUUCAAAAAUAUAUGGAAAACAAGAAAAACCAAAAGAGGAAACCAUUUCUAAUGAGGAGACUAGUUCAAUUAUUCUGAAGUCAAGCCCUGCUAAUCAAGGAGUUGGACCGACUGUGACAUUUGGGGAAGCCCCACAGAACAGGAUGGGAUCUUUUAUGAAGAAAUGGAUUGGGAAGAAAAACAUAAGAUAAGGUUGGAACCUCUUCUGGUGCAAGAAGGUCCUAAAUAUUACUGAGGAUCUCUCAUCUUCUAGGUGAAGCUCACAAAAUUGCCCUGGAGGUUGCUGCCUUCCUGGAAGCCAGAGUGAAAAAAAAAAAGAGGACAUGCAGUUGCACAUGGGAGGAUUUUGUGGGCCAUGGUUAUCAGGGCACAAUCCCUUAGCUCACCUUUCUCUGGUGAGAAAACACUUCCAGUGCCACACCUCAGUCUCCUCCCUCUGGUGAAAAAAACACUUCCAGUGCCACACCUCAGCCUCCUUCCUCUGGUGAAAAAACAGUUCCAGUGCCAUACCUCAGCCUUUCCUCUGGUAAAAAACACUUCCAGUGCCACACCUCAGCCUCCCUCCUCUGGUGAAAAAACACUUCCAGUGCUACACCUCAGCCUCCUUCCUCUGGUGAAAAAAUACUUCCAGAGCCACACCUUACCCUCCUUCCUCUGGUGAGAAACUACUUCCAGUGCCACACCUCAGCCUCCUUCCUCUGGUGACAAAACACUUCCAGUGCCACAACUCAGCCUCCUUCGACUGGUGAGAAAACACUUCCAGUGCCACACCUCAGCCUCCUUCCUCUGCUGAGAAAACACUUCCAGUGCCACAGCUCAGCCUCCUUCCUCUGGUCACAAAACACUUCCAGUACUACACAUCACUGCUGGAGAACUGGAGAGUGGAGUCUUCCAGCCCAAGAAGAAAGAAAUAUAGGAUUUUGUCAAGUACCAGAAGUUUCUGCCACACUCAGUGGGCAUU